AUCCCUUCGUGUUGAAAGCAUCUGGAUGUUUAAUGCGACGCCGCGCUGCCUGCUACUUUCAUGCAACAGGAGUUGUUCUGCGCACGUGCCGCGAAGGCGCCCUGUUUCUGCUGCCGUCAGUGCUAGACUCCAAGACAUUUGCCAAGCUGGCAAACCGCCAGGGAGCAAAACUGGAACUUCAGCUUUACGAGGAGAUCAGGAGAGCCUCACCACACCUACACUCCCGUGCCUUUCUCGACCAGGCGAAGGAGCAGGCAAGAGAGCUGUGCUCGCCGCUCACUACACUGAAAAGGGAAGAGGUCGAGUCCACUAUAGCGCAGAAGUACAAACUCACAGAUGAUCGACUUGUCACCUGCUUGGUUCCCUACCAGCUUGGAGCCAAUAUCCUCCUCUCCCGCCUACCUCCCAAGGUCAGGGAGGAGUCUCUCCGGGAAUUGAAGUCUGAAGAAGCAGCCAGGCAGAGUGGGUCUCCUCCCGCACCGAACAAGUGGAUCCAGUGGUAUGAAGCCGACGUUUAUGUUUCAACUGGAAGGAAGUACUUGGAGCGCAUCAGCACCCGUCGACAGCGUCGCAUUCCUGUCUUCGCUGUCAUGGGACAUGUAAAUCACGGUAAGACUGCCUUACUCGAUGCCUUGCAGGGGUCGCGCAUCGGUGCUGAAGAGCCUCAUCACAUCACGCAGUCCGUUCGGGCGUUCACGAUACCAAGGCCAGGCGCCGACAACGAUCUUUUUACCUUCAUCGACACUCCGGGGCACCGCAUUUUUGUCGAAACUCGGUUUCACGUGCAGCUGAUGGCUGACGUCAUCGCGUUGGUGAUCUCGGUCGCCGAAGGGAUCGAAAGUCAAACUCACGAGACGAUCAAGGUCGCCCUCAACGUUGAUAAGCCGGUGAUCGUAGUCUUGAACAAGCUAGAUCUCUUGUCUGACGCGCUUACUGCCAAGAAGGCAGUGCGGCGCAUCCUAGCAGAGCUGUACUCUAUUGGGCUCGACGUGCACCUGCUGCAAAGGGAGAAAGAUGUUGAGGCGUUGACGACCAAGGCGUCGACCGUUUGCUGCAGUAGCUGCGGCAGCAGUCUCACAGAUUUGCGUCCGCAAGCGGAAUACUUUGCACCGAUGAAGACGGUCGAUCCGGGUUAUAAGGGCAGCAAGCGGCACCCACAAGUGCAGCUGCUCCGCAAAAGCUACGGAGUGUGUGUCUCCGCUGCAACCGGAGCUCAUAUUCCCCUCCUGUGGCGCGUUCUGCAGCUUUGUCGAGAUUGUGCGCCUCCAACAUGUCUCAGCAAUUCCGUUGGGCACACGGAACACAACGCCGCCGUUCAAGCCGUUGUGUUGGAGUCUUCUAAGCACCUGUUCGACGAAGAGGGCUUUCGGCUGAACCGCAAGCGCCAGCAGAUCCAGCGGAGCAUCGAUCGAAAGCAGGAGAAACGCUUAAAGGUGUUUGAGCAACGAAGUCCUCGGUCGCGCCUGAACUCUGCAUACAACAGCGUCAAAACGCAGUCUACACGCCAGAAUCGGACCAGCUCGUCGUCCCUGGUGAUCACGGCCAUCGUCCAGGAGGGCGUUCUAACUGAGGGAAUGCACUUUAUCGCCGAUCAGGCGGAGGGCCAGGUGCACGCCUUGGUCGACUACUGGGGCAAUCGUGUUGAGAAGGCGUACCCCGGCAUGGCCGUCACGCUUAUCGACAAGAGCAGCAUGAGUGGGUGCCCCGGCGCCGGAAUCCAUGUGCUGUCCAUGACAGACCUCGCUUCGCGCGUGCGCGUACAAGCGUAUCGCCAACGGCUGCAGUGGUACGCUGAGAUUUUUACGACAAAGCUGCACUACCUCCGCCCACGGGGUAUGGACGUGUCUUUCGCCCAUCUGGGUGACUACGGUCAACUCGGCAUCACCGACUCGCUUGAAUGCCAACUCCUGUACGGGCCGCCGCAAAAGCCCUCCGAGGAGCAGAGGCAACCGGAGGCGCUACCCCCAGGGACCUCGGCGAGCGAUGAGUCCAUUGGUGCGUACCUCGCGGAGAGGAAUCGAGAGUCUGAAUCAAACGCGCUCCAAGUUUCCUCGGUGGGGUCUGUUGCGUUCCCGGACGGUGCAACGAAGCGCUUGACACAGGCAAUUAUGGGCAAAGACGAUGAAGAGGUGCUCAAGGCUACGUGGCAGAGUGCGCAGCUGCAGCGGCAGCUCACGUCCCAAAAGGAAUACGAGGAUCACGUUGCACAGUGUGUGCAGGUGGGUGUCUUAAUCAAGGUAGAUUCAUGGCACACCGCCCGCAUGCUACACCGCGAAAUCUCCCGUCUCGGCACGCGCAAGGUUUAUUUUCAAGUCGUCGGUGCGCGUUUCGGCCCUCUGCAGGUGAGCGACAUCAUUUACGUCAUGCAGGCUGUGAAGAUCAUUGUGUGCUUCCGUACGCCUCUUUCCGCGUCCAGCGACCUGGACAGCUACAUCGAGAACGCCAACUUGUGGGUGCUCCAGACCGAUCACUUCUCCGACGUGGUUCUCUUCAUGAAGUGGUGCGCGGUGGCGACGCACAAGGAGAAGGUGCUCGAUGAAAAUGACGGCGACUUAGACCACGGCGACGAGUCGGGCCCUCGGCCUCGAAUUUUUGUGGACUCGAAGCCGGAGGCGGACAGCGGUGAUCCGAAGGGAUCUAAGUCGCAGAGACAGAGGCUUCUCCUGUAUGAUGACGACAACAACGAUGACGAGUUUUGGAGCAUGUAGACUCGAUUCCCCUGGUCGUCUUCGCAAGUGCUACGCGUGCUGCCUGCAUUGUUGACGGAGCGAGCUGUCCUCCUUUUUUUCUUAUGCGGUGCUACCGACAGGUGAGCGCUGAUCGCCUGCAAGGGCUUCUCACAGAGGGUGACGGACAUUGAUCCGAAAUCGAGCACCUGACACCACCACCGCCAAC
rnacentral:misc_RNA from 1 species